UUGGCCUAGGUCUACGACGUACGAGUUGAAUUCGAUCGUCGUCAGGAUGAACGCUAGCUACAGGCUUAACACAUGCAAGUCGAGCGGAACUUCUUCGGAAGUUAGCGGCAGACGGGUGAGUAACACGUAUCCAACCUUUCCCGUUACUCGGGUAUAGCCUCGGGAAACUGAGAGUAAUCCCCGAUGAAGUGUACGAUAAGCAUUUUUUGCACACCAAAGAUUUAUCGGUAAGGGGUGGGGAUGCGUUCCAUUAGGUAGUAGGCGGGGCAACGGCCCACCUAGCCGAUGAUGGAUAGGGUUCUGAGAGGAAGGUCCCCCACAUUGGAACUGCGACACGGUCCAAACUCCUACGGGAGGCAGCAGUGAGGAAUAUUGGUCAAUGGUCGGAAGACUGAACCAGCCAAGUAGCGUGCAGGAUGACGGCCCUAUGGGUUGUAAACUGCUUUUGUGCGGGAAUAACGUUGCGUUCGUGAACGCAAGUGCAUGUACCGUACGAAUAAGGAUCGGCUAACUCCGUGCCAGCCGCGGC
rnacentral:rRNA from 1 species